rnacentral:rRNA from 1 species
CCUACGGGGUGCAGCAGUGAGGAAUAUUGGUCAAUGGACGAGAGUCUGAACCAGCCAAGUAGCGUGAAGGAUGACUGCCCUAUGGGUUGUAAACUUCUUUUAUAUGGGAAUAAAAUGUUCCACGUGUGGCAUUUUGUAUGUACCAUAUGAAUAAGGAUCGGCUAACUCCGUGCCAGCAGCCGCGGUAAUACGGAGGAUCCGAGCGUUAUCCGGAUUUAUUGGGUUUAAAGGGAGCGUAGGUGGAUUGUUAAGUCAGUUGUGAAAGUUUGCGGCUCAACCGUAAAAUUGCAGUUGAAACUGGCAGUCUUGAGUACAGUAGAGGUGGGCGGAAUUCGUGGUGUAGCGGUGAAAUGCUUAGAUAUCACGAAGAACUCCGAUUGCGAAGGCAGCUCACUGGACUGCAACUGACACUGAGGCUCGAAAGUGUGGGUAUCAAACAGGAUUAGAUACCCCAGUAGUC